UACGAAGGGGGCGAGCGUUGUUCGGAUUUACUGGGCGUAAAGCGUGCGCAGGCGGUUCGUUGUGUCCGUCGUGAAAGCCCCGGGCUUAACCUGGGAACUGCGAUGGAAACUAGCGAGCUGGAGUGUAGCAGAGGGGGGUGGAAUUCCGCGUGUAGCAGUGAAAUGCGUAGAGAUGCGGAGGAACACCGAUGGCGAAGGCAGCCCCCUGGGCUAACACUGACGCUCAGGCACGAAAGCGUGGGGAGCAAACAGG
rnacentral:rRNA from 1 species